rnacentral:rRNA from 1 species
GACGAACGCUGGCGGCGUGCCUAACACAUGCAAGUUGAGCGACGAACCAGGGCUUGCCCUGGGGCAAAGCAGCGAACGGGUGAGUAACACGUGGGUAACCUACCCCGAUAACCGGGACAACCCGAGGAAACUCGGGCUAAUACCGGAUGUGCUCACUGGACUUCGGUUCAGUGCGUAAAGGAAGCUUCGGCCUCCGUAUCGGGAGGGGCCCGCGGCCCAUUAGUUUGUUGGUGAGGUAACGGCUCACCAAGACCGCGAUGGGUAGCUGGUCUGAGAGGACGAUCAGCCACACUGGGACUGAGACACGGCCCAGACUCCUACGGGAGGCAGCAGUGGGGAAUCUUGCGCAAUGCGCGAAAGCGUGACGCAGCAACGCCGCGUGGGGGAAGAAGGCCUUCGGGUUUUAAACCCCUUUCAGGAGGGACGAAGGUUCGGCGGUGAAUAGCCGUCCGGACUGACGGUACCUCCACAAGAAGCCCCGGCUAACUACGUG